GACUCGGUGGUGGAUGGUCCACACUCGCGUGUCCUGGUGUUUAGAAUUUCGAAUUCCGUGAGAGAUUGCCCGUUCGAUUCGGGUCCGAGUCG